AUGUUCUCUGAAAAGAACUUGGUUCUCUCAGAGUUCCAAGAGGACAGACAGGAAAGAAGAGGGAGUGGACAGCCAGGCACGAGUCAGAGAGAGCUCUCAGUCAGUGCGGCUGCUUGGCAGUCAGGUCUAGCCACAACUGGCCACUGCGGCAGGGAAGCAGCCAGUUCCAAGCUGAAGAGAAUGGCCAAGGCGUGCAGGUGUGGUUUGGACAGAGGAAUGUCCAGGUCAGUCUUGGGAUCCCUAGAGCACCCACCACCUGGGAACCCUGGCACCGUUCAUACCUAAGAGCAGCUCACCAUUUUCCCCAUGCCUUAAAAUCUGCCGUAGUCUUCCGUUAAAUACUUUGUCAUCUGAGCCACAUUAUCAUUCUUCAUCUCCCCAAACCAGGCUGGCACAAAUCAAGCAGACGCAAACUCAGAUCCUGACCUCUGUGUGUGUUGUAGGUC
rnacentral:lncRNA from 1 species